rnacentral:rRNA from 1 species
UACGAAGGGGGCUAGCGUUGCUCGGAAUUACUGGGCGUAAAGCGCACGUAGGCGGCUCUUUAAGUCGGGGGUGAAAUCCUGGAGCUCAACUCCAGAACUGCCUUCGAUACUGAAGAGCUCGAGUCCGGGAGAGGUGAGUGGAACUGCGAGUGUAGAGGUGAAAUUCGUAGAUAUUCGCAAGAACACCAGUGGCGAAGGCGGCUCACUGGCCCGGUACUGACACUGAGAUGCGAAAGCGUGGGGAGCAAACAGG